rnacentral:rRNA from 1 species
GAUGAACGCUGGCGGCGUGCCUAAUACAUGCAAGUCGAGCGAACAGACGAGGAUCUUGCGGCUCUGACGUGAGCGGCGGGCGGGAGAGUAACACGUGGAGAACCUACCUAGAAGACUGGGAUAACUACGGGAAACCGGAGCUAAUACCAGAUAAUAUAUUGAACCGCAGGGGGGAAUAGUGAAAGACGGGUUUGCUGGCACGUAAAGAUGGAUCCGCGCCGCAUUAGCUAGUUGGGAAGGUAAAGGCUUACCAAGGCAACGAUGCGUAGCCGACCUGAGGGAGUGACAGGCGACACUGGAAGUGAAACACGGUCCAGACUCCUACGGGAGGCCGCAGUAGGGAAUCUUCCGCAGUGGGCGAAAGCAUGACGGAGCAACGGCGCGUGAGUGAUGAAGGUCUUCGGAUCGUAAAACUCUGUUAUUAGGGAAGAACAACUGUGUAAGUAACUAUGCACGUAUUGACGGUACCUAGUCAGAAAGCAACGGCUAACUACGUG